rnacentral:rRNA from 1 species
UACGGAGGGUGCGAGCGUUGUCCGGAAUCACUGGGCGUAAAGGGUGCGUAGGCGGGUCUUUAAGUCAGGGGUGAAAUCCUGGAGCUCAACUCCAGAACUGCCUUUGAUACUGAAGAUCUUGAGUUCGGGAGAGGUGAGUGGAACUGCGAGUGUAGAGGUGAAAUUCGUAGAUAUUCGCAAGAACACCAGUGGCGAAGGCGGCUCACUGGCCAGAUACUGACGCUGAGGCACGAAAGCGUGGGGAGCAAACAGG